rnacentral:rRNA from 1 species
AGGGAGGCAGCAGUGGGGAAUUUUGGACAAUGGGGGCAACCCUGAUCCAGCCAUGCCGCGUGCAGGAUGAAGGCCUUCGGGUUGUAAACUGCUUUUGUUAGGAACGAAAAGGUAUCCAAUAACACUGGGUACUGCUAACGGUACCUAAAGAAUAAGCACCGGCUAACUACGUGCCAGCAGCCGCGGUAAUACGUAGGGUGCAAGCGUUAAUCGGAAUUACUGGGCGUAAAGCGUGCGCAGGCGGUUGUGUAAGACAGAUGUGAAAUCCCCGGGCUCAACCUGGGAACUGCAUUUGUGACUGCACAGCUAGAGUGUGUCAGAGGGGGGUAGAAUUCCACGUGUAGCAGUGAAAUGCGUAGAGAUGUGGAGGAAUACCAAUGGCGAAGGCAGCCCCCUGGGAUAACACUGACGCUCAUGUACGAAAGCGUGGGGAGCAAACAGGAUUAGAUACCCUGGUAGUCC